GAUGAACGCUGGCGGCGUGCCUAAUACAUGCAAGUCGAGCGAACGGACGAGAAGCUUGCUUCUCUGAUGUUAGCGGCGGACGGGUGAGUAACACGUGGAUAACCUACCUAUAAGACUGGGAUAACUUCGGGAAACCGGAGCUAAUACCGGAUAAUAUUUUUAACCGUAUGGUUCAAAAGUGAAAGACGGUAUUGCUGUCACUUAUAGAUGGAUCCGCGCUUCAUUAGCUAGUUGGUAAGGUAACGGUUUACCAAGGCAACGAUGCAUAGCCGACCUGAGAGGGGGAUCGGCCACACUGGAACUGAGAAACGGCCCAGCCUCCUACGGGAGGAAGCAGUAGGGAAUCUUCCGCAAUGGGCGAAAGCCUGACGGAGCAACGCCGCGUGGUGGAUGAAGUUCUUCGGAUCGUAAAACUUUGUUAUUAGGGAAGACCAUAUGUGUAAGUAACUGUGCACAUCUUGACGGUACCUAAUCAGAAAGCCACGGCUAACUACGUG
rnacentral:rRNA from 1 species